CACCCCUAUCAUCAUACCAACCUGUUUCACAGCACUGUCAAACUCCACAAUGAACUUCAAGCCAAAAUAGAGUUCAAUUAAAAACAAUACAAUCUUAUUCCUGAUCCACGUGAUGGGAUCCGGGUGAUGCCAGGAUGCUCAGUGUCCUUAGUGUCCCUGUCCGCAUCUUUACUGUAAUGUCUGCACUGCUGGCCAGCAGACGGCGCAGACGGUCUGCGCAGGUGAUGCCACGCGCGCUUUGGAGAGGUCGCACAGCUGCAUUAGGGCGCACGCGCUGAUGCCACCAUGGUUGGCUGUGGGUAUCGUGUUUAAGUGACACAAUACUCCUCUACCAAGGACAGGUCAAGCGUGCGAGUUCCCGACAUACAGCCAAAGACGUGAAUCGUUGCAUCACGAACGCGCAUUUCUUUUGUAAUUACGCAAUGGCGAUCUGGUCACUUUAAAACUCGUAAAUGACAGACGCACCGUCCUCAGUGCUGCUUCCGGCACCCUUAUGGAACUAUUAUGGAACUACCCAAAAUGCUUUUGGUGUCUCAUCACUUGUGUCAUUUCUCCAGUAGAUGGAGGCAAAGACCCGUGUUUCCCAUGCGCGCUCCCGCGCCACCCGUGACGCACAGAUGUUGGAUGGCAUGAUGAUGCUGAUGGAUGGCCUUACAAAGAUUUCAACCCUUAAUUCUCUGGUCUGAUGGCUUACAAACACAACAACACAGAAUACUGCAGCGGCAGCCCUUCACAGAUGCACGCCACAAAAUGCACAGCGCCCACAAACAACACUUCACUUUCACAACUUUGAGAGCACACAUGAAGCCCUCUUGUGGUCACUAUGGAGAACAGCACAUGAAAGACUUGUCCUGUAUUCUUGAUCCACAUGAUGGUGAGUUGAAUCCAAAGCCUGUCCUACAGUGUCAGAAAUUCUCUCUGCUCUUCAUACUGUAUUACUCUUUCAGACUCAAGGAGUUUCCCCUGAUCUCUCCAGCUCGAGAUUACUCCCCUGAAACUAAUGUGUGACGGUGAUUCAUACAGAGAACCUGAAAAUUAUGAAUGCCACUGAUAAAUGAAACCAUCUUGGCUUUUGUGGAGUCCCGAAGCCACUAUUUGGGCGAGUUUUCUGAGAAGCAGUUACAAUGUGAUAAUGACAAGAAACGGCUGUAACGAUAACAAGAAGUUAUUUGAAUUAAUAUUUGGCUGAGAUGUCAAAUAAUAACUCUGAAUCGAUUCAGUUCAAAUGAAUUCAUCACCAUUUUUUAAAAACAAAAAUAUGCGGUCGCGAGCUUUAGAAAACAUUCACAGUUUUUCUCUGCGAUUAUGUAAAUUUUGGCCUAGUUAUCAAGUCCGAGGUGUCAGUGUUUUUGGAAAUUUACAGAUGUAUGUUUCCAUGAUGUGAGGUUAAACAUAGCACACUGUAGCAGCCGCCUUUCCGUUCAUACGACAAUAAUACCGCAACAAACACACAAAUGCGCAAACAUAUUUGGACAAACACCCUUGAGCUCGUACUAUAGCAACAGGUGAUGCUUGCCAGGUCCUUUCUGAAAGUUUGUGUAGGUGAAAACACAGUGUUGGAACACAUUUUGCUCAGUGUAUUAUUUUUUAUAUUUUUUUGCGCUGUGUGUCUCAGACUUUGAUAUAACAUUCCAACAUGUGGCUGCUAGAAAAUAAAAGUUGCUUUGAAAUCUACUGCUAAUCCUAA
ensembl:lncRNA